CUCUCAAACCAGGCAGCUUGGGAGAUUUGAGCAUUAACUGCUGCUCCCAAGCAGAAGGCUCUACUUUCAGUUUCCCAGAAACAUGUUUUAAUUUCUUUGAUUACAUGUUUUAAAUUACUUCAGUUAGGGGCAUUGCUCUCGAGGGAAGCCUGGCUUGGGUGCCCUCUGGGGCUUCUUGGGCCCAGCUCCACUAGGCCUGGCCACCCAGCCUACCUGUGGGGUAGGUGGCUCUACCUUCCUUUUCUUCUUCUGGUUCUGCUUGUUGGUUCGAGGAUACACCAUGAGCAUCUCUAACCACCUGGGAAGACAGGAUGAGAGAUAGUACCAGGAGGCCUGGAUCUUAGAACUGCUCCCUAUCAACUGAUAUUUCUGACAGAUACUUGAGGUCCUGUGCCUGAAGGGAGUGACUCCUACAAUUUCACUAGAAUUCUAAAUCAAGAUUAUCUUCCCACAAGGACCUCAGAAGCAAGUGUUCUUCACUCCAUGGACAAGACACAUCUUAUCUCUGAGACAGAAAACUAACAAUAUGGGGAUUGUGAAAACUGAGUGACAGGAGCUGUGCAGACAGCCAGGAGUGACCAGAUGACAGGAACUGCUAAGGAUGCCUCUUCUCUACUGCUGGAACUCCAUCCCAGUUCUUGGAAUUAAAACACUGACAACAAUGGCCAUGGUAGAUUUUAGACCUAUG